rnacentral:rRNA from 1 species
UACAGAGGGUGCGAGCGUUAGUCGGAAUUACUGGGCGUAAAGCGCGCGUAGGCGGCUUUGCAAGUCGGGUGUGAAAUCCCCAGGCUUAACCUGGGAACUGCAUUCGAGACUGCAUUGCUAGAGUAUGGGAGAGGGAAGUGGAAUUUCCGGUGUAGCGGUGAAAUGCGUAGAUAUCGGAAGGAACAUCAGUGGCGAAAGCGACUUCCUGGACCAAUACUGACGCUCAUGUGCGAAAGCGUGGGGGGCAAACAGG